UACGUAGGGGGCGAGCGUUGUCCGGAUUUAUUGGGCGUAAAGAGCUCGUAGGCGGUUUGGUAAGUCGGGUGUGAAAUCUCCACGCUCAACGUGGAGGGGCCACUCGAUACUGCCAUGACUCGAGUCCGGUAGAGGAGUGUGGAAUUCCCGGUGUAGCGGUGGAAUGCGUAGAGAUCGGGAAGAACAUCAGUGGCGAAGGCGGCCUGCUGGGCUGUUGCUGACGCUGAGGCGCGACAGCGUGGGGAGCAAACAGG
rnacentral:rRNA from 1 species